UCAUGUGGACCUAGCCUGAGGUAGUAGCCAUAGAUGUCAGUGGCAAGACAGAAGAUUCAGUCUCUAAACAAAACCAUAUUCCAUGUCUUCAUCUAUAAAAGUGGAAGAAUAAUGGCAAAUGCUAUGUGAAGAUGAAUAACAUCAGCAACUCUCAGAAAGAAGAGUCUAUGUCCCUGUACACAGAAUCUGGCUUGACUUUGUGACUUGCUUUCACCAACCAAAUGCAGAAGAAGUGAAGUCUGGUCCUCAGGAGGUUUUGUACUCCUCUGCUGACUCUCCUGGGAUGCUAACAAGGCCAUGAGUCCUAGUUACGACUAACUUACAUGGCCUAGUCACCUCCAUUGUCCAAGCCAAUAGGUACCCAGCCAUCACACCUAGAGUGAGGCCAUUCCAAUCUCCAGCUGAUCUGCUGUGGAUGAGCAUGGCCAAGAUCAACUGAGCUUGGCUCAGAUGAGCAAGACUGCCUGGAUAACCUACAAUCUUGUGGAGAAAUGGAGGCACUCACGGAUCAAGCAUUUUCCCAGGGCCACAUAGUUAAUGCAGCACUUAGAAGACUGGUGAUGAUGUGCCUAUUCUAAGUCUAGGCCUCAAGAAGUCUUGAAAGAUUCUGUUCCCUCUCGGUUAGUCCACUGGAGGAUGAGAGACCCACGGCCCAAUAACCUCCAUUGCCUCGGCCAACAGACAGUCAACUUCCAGUCUCACCAUUACCUAGACUACCACAGGGACCACAGACACAUAACGGUGCCCAGCCAAGACAAGAAGAAACAUCCAGCUGAGUCCAGCCUAAAUUGCUGAUCUGCAGAAUUGUAAGCUAGAUAAAUAGUUGUUGUUUAAAGACACUACGUUUUGGGAUGGUUUGGGAUACACCACUAGCUAACAGAUACAGGUUCUCACUCUGUCACCCAGGCUGGAAUACAGUGGUAUGACCACAGCUCCUUGUAACCUCAAACUCCUGGGCUCAAUCAAUCCUCGCACCUCAGCCUCCCAAAGUACUGAGAUUACAGGUGUGAGCCACCAUGCCCUCCCAUAAUAUAUGAUAUUUUUAUCAGCCAGAAACUUCCCGGAUGUUCCUUUGUAG